rnacentral:rRNA from 1 species
UACGUAGGGUCCGAGCGUUGUCCGGAAUUACUGGGCGUAAAGCGCGCGCAGGCGGCCCGCGAGGUGUCACGUGAAAGCCCCGGGCUCAACCCGGGAGGGUCGUGGCAAACCGGCGGGCUUGAGGCCGGUAGAGGUGGGUGGAACUCCUGGUGGAGUGGUGAAAUGCGUAGAGAUCCGGAAGAACACCGGUGGCGAAGGCGGCCUGCUGGGCAGUGGCUGACACUGAGGCGCGACAGCGUGGGGAGCAAACAGG